rnacentral:misc_RNA from 1 species
GAUGAAGAACGUAGCGAAAUGCGAUACGUAAUGUGAAUUGCAAAUUCAGUGAAUCAUCGAGUCUUUGAACGCACAUUGCGCCCCCUGGUAUUCCGGGGGGCAUGCCUGUCCGAGCGUCAUUACUGCCCUCAAGCCCGGCUUGUGUGUUGGGCCCCGUCCUCCGAUCCCGGGGGACGGGCCCGAAAGGCAGCGGCGGCACCGCGUCCGGUCCUCGAGCGUAUGGGGCUUUGUCACCCGCUCUGUAGGCCCGGCCGGCGCUUGCCGAUCAACCCCAAUUUUUAUAGGUUGAACUCGGAUCAGGUAGGGAUACCCGCUGAACUUAAGCAUAUCAAUAAGCGGAGGA